ACGCCUAACACAUGCAAGUCGAACGAAGUAGCAAUACUUAGUGGCAGACGGGUGAGUAACAUGUAGGUAUCUGCCCUUUGGCCUGGAAUAACACGAGGAAACUUGUGCUAAUACCGGAUAAGUCUUUACGGAGAAAGCUUUAUGCACCAUUGGAUGAGCCUGCACUUGAUUAGUUUGUUGGUGGGGUAAUGGCCUACCAAGACUGUGAUCAAUAGCUGAUUUGAGAGGAUGAUCAGCCACAUUGGGACUGAGACACGGCCCAAACUCCUACGGGAGGCAGCAGUGGGGAAUCUUGCACAAUGGAGGAAACUCUGAUGCAGCGAUGCCGCGUGAGUGAAGAAGGCCCUUGGGUUGUAAAGCUCUUUCGUCGGGGAAGAAAAUGACUGUACCCGAAUAAGAAGGUCCGGCUAACUUCGUGCCAGCAGCCGCGGUAAUACGAAGGGACCUAGCGUAGUUCGGAAUUACUGGGCUUAAAGAGUUCGUAGGUGGUUGAAAAAGUUGGUGGUGAAAUCCCAGAGCUUAACUCUGGAACUGCCAUCAAAACUUUUCAGCUAGAGUAUGAUAGAGGAAAGCAGAAUUUCUAGUGUAGAGGUGAAAUUCGUAGAUAUUAGAAAGAAUACCAAUUGCGAAGGCAGCUUUCUGGAUCAUUACUGACACUGAGGAACGAAAGCAUGGGUAGCGAAGAGGAUUAGAUACCCUCGUAGUCCAUGCCGUAAACGAUGUGUGUUAGACGUUGGAAAUUUAUUUUCAGUGUCGCAGCGAAAGCGAUAAACACACCGCCUGGGGAGUACGACC
rnacentral:rRNA from 1 species